GACGAACGCUGGCGGCGUGCUUAAUACAUGCAAGUCGAGCGAGGUUACUGUUUUGGAUCCCUUCGGGGUGAAGAAGCUUUAACCUAGCGGCGGACGGGUGAGUAACGCGUGGGUAACCUACCCCAAAGUCCGGGAUAACAGCGGGAAACCGCUGCUAAUACCGGAUGUCUUUACCUUGGGGCAUCUUGAGGUAAAGAAAGGUAACGCUUUGGGAUGGGCCCGCGUCCCAUUAGCUAGUUGGUGAGGUAACGGCUCACCAAGGCGACGAUGGGUAGCCGGCCUGAGAGGGUGGACGGCCACACUGGGACUGAGACACGGCCCAGACUCCUACGGGAGGCAGCAGUAGGGAAUAUUGCGCAAUGGACGGAAGUCUGACGCAGCGACGCCGCGUGAGCGAUGAAGGUCUUCGGAUCGUAAAGCUCUGUCCUUGGGGAAGAAGGCGAAAGCUUGACGGUACCCAAGAAGAAAGCCCCGGCUAACUACGUG
rnacentral:rRNA from 1 species